rnacentral:rRNA from 1 species
UACGAAGGAUCCAAGCGUUGUCCGGAAUCACUGGGCGUAAAGGGCGCGUAGGUGGCCUGUGGAAGUCUGCGGUGAAAGCCCGGCGCUCAACGCCGGGUCGGCCGUGGAUACUCUCGGGCUCGAGCUUACUAGAGGCAGAUGGAAUUCCGGGUGUAGCGGUGGAAUGCGUAGAGAUCCGGAAGAACACCGGUGGCGAAGGCGGUCUGCUGGGGUAAUGCUGACACUGAUGCGCGACAGCGUGGGGGAGCAAACAGG